CGCGCUGAGGCAGCGCUACGGACACGGCUCUGCUGUCAAUAGCACCCCUCCCCCUCCCCGCUGGCGCGCGCUCCACCCCCUCCCCGCUAGCGCGCGCUCCCGCACUAGCAACCCAACCGCCACUCACCGGGGGGAGGGGGGAAUGUCACCCAGAGCCCCAGACCCUGGGGAGAGAGACAGUCAUUCACCAUCAGCCCCAUGGACUUGUCAAGAUUAGUUUCAGGGGGCAGUGGCACAGCAAACUUCUCCAUAGUGCCCUGCCAAUGAGCUUCAACCCUGAACUGAAGAGAAAACAUUUAAUGGUCUGGGGAGAGGCUAAGUGGGAGUGGAAGAGAAGCAGGAAGUUACAGAGAAAGUGGUGAAGUGCAGUGCAUUCUAUAGGCCUGUCGCCUGUUAACUGCAGUCUUGGUGAAUAUCAAAAAAAGGCCCUGAUCUUGGAAGCUGCUUGACACAGUCACACCCCUGCGCCAGCAUGCAGCCCAUUGACUUCUUUGGGACUCCGGACUGGCUCAGGAAUCUGCCUGCAUAGUUCAGCUUCCAGGCUCAGAACCUAAAUAGGUGUGUGAAGGAGCUUUCAUUAUUGUAAUUUCUACAUAAGCCCAGAUCCUGCAGUUGACUCUGUGUGGGUAGGACUCUAUUGAAGUCAAUGAGGCUCCACACUGGGGACGGGUUCUACCUGUGAGAAGUCAGUUGCAUGGUCGGGGCCCUAGUGUGACGCCUCAGGGUGCAUUCUGGAGCCUGCUUACCAAGAUAAUGUCACCUUUGUCUACAGUGCUGAUACAUAUACUAAUGUAAUGUUUUAUGGCUCUCAUAAGCAUGAAGUGUACAAACUCUAUGUCUAAGGUACUCUGAAAUUGCACGGACUUAAUGCCAACCACUGUAAAGUCAUGGCUACCACUGAACCCUGCUAGAGUCUGGAGCUGAUGCAUAAGGGCUCAAGUAUAUGACUUUCAUUAUAUGUCAUGGGUUUGUAAUUUUUUUUUUUUUUUUGCAAAACCAUACUGUUAAAAUAAUAAUAAUUCCUGCCACUUACUGGCACAACUCUUGACCAGAAUCACAGUAGCUGUGAUGUUGCAGCAGAUCAACGGUCCACUGACACAAAUUUUAGAAGUCUAAAAAGGGGAAUGGAAGGGGAGGUUAAUUUGAAAUUAGUCAUGUGCUGAAUGUCCCACUUAUGCUUAUUUAGCUGAGGUAAUCACAAGAAAAAAAAUAACUCUUUUAAAAAAUAAAGUUUGUAUUUUUUAGAAAACCCCCAGGGUAUUAUCUUGUAUGAACUCUGAACAUUUUGUAUUUUAACAUAAAAGUAAUUAAUAAUUACACACUGUACAUAUGGAAAUACAGGUUUGAUCCUCAUAAUAAAUUAAUACAAUUUAGCUUUCUUUAAUGUGUAUGCUACAGGGUGGAUUCUAAAUUCCAGUGUAUUUUUUACAUUUAAAACAAAUGAGACUAUUUAUGAGAGUAAGGAUAUAUAUGUGUAAUACAGAAAGUAUGCAUAUUUUAUUUACUGAACACUAGUGCCUUCACACAACCUAUUUUUUGUUGACAUUUGUUUAUUUUCUCUGGGAGAAUGACAGAUCUGCAGCACAACAUAAUACCAAUCCAAAGGCCAGAGUUUCAGAGCAGACUGGAUUUCAGAAACACACAAACUUCAAAAAGUAAUAGACUACUUUGAAGAAACCAAAACCAUCAACAAGUUAAAAACUCAUUGGUGAAAGCUGAUGAGUUGACUGCACUGGAAACUCAGGUCUUCUCUUCAUCCAUGUUGUAGGAUUGCAGGCUUUUCAACAUUAUCCUGUUCAUUGGCCCUGCCCUGGAAAAACUACAUACAGACCUGGUCACAAAUUGGCAAGUUUCCUACUAACCUCACUGAUGUCUCAUCUGCUCUUUGACCUGUCGGGUUAGAGAAGCUUUCCUCCCACCCGCCUUUGAGUACUACCCUUACACUGCUGUGAUUACGUGGACCUGGCAAAUGCCACAGUGAUCUCAGAAUGUGACACAUCCAGGAUUCCGUGCUGAGGAUCUCAUAAAAGAGGAUAUGAAAAUUCAUAAAGCAAGAAUACAGACGAAAUACGCCUUCUGAAUUACAACAAGAUCACUAACUUUUUAUGGACAGCUGAGAAGGUAACCAAAAUAUGUGCUGUGUAGUUCCUACCUGGUUUCUGAAAUCUGCACAAUGCUGGGUGUAUAGUGCUGUGAAGAUUGCUUGGAAGCAAAGGCAACUGCCUGGACUAAUGUUAAGGGUGGUGUACAUCUGAAGCCUAGGCUACACAGUGUAAAUGCAGUUGAUUCCAGGUUCUCCCAGCUGUGAUCAGGACUUGAAACCACAUUACUUUGGCAGUGAGUUUCUAGAUCUCAGUGUUCCAGGCAAAGAAAGCCAGGCCUUGGAGCAUUUGCUGUUCGUGGUGGACAUGAGACUCUUGGCAUAGGGAAUUUAUAUACAUGGCUUUUCUUUCCGGUGGUGAUGGUAGUGAGGACUUAGGGUGGCACAGGUGGAAAACAAAUCUCAGGUGUACUCUUAGGGCACUCAGAAAUUAAUGCAGACUCCCUUACAUUUGAGUAACAGUUCAUCAGGCUUUGUGAUCAUAGUGGUUGUGUUCAGGUGAUUUAUCAGUUAAGCUUUGGACUCAAUACAGUAUUUCCUCUCCAGCAGGAAACCAUUACCUAUCUGGCCACAGGAAACGUUUAAAGUUUUCAUACUAAUGAAUCUCUCUCCCUGUUGCCUGUGUGAACCACGAAGAUUUUGAAGAUACAAGUAUUUUCCAUCAAGAUAUGAAUAACACUACUUGGCAAACUAUCCUAUAACAAAAAAACAAGCCUCCAACUUUUUUUUAGUGACUUUACAUACAAUGUGCCUUAAUUACUGGCAAGCAUGUCAAGAGCCUAUUCCCACAUGUGUCAACACUUCCUUAAUACACUGUAAUUCAUCAUGUUAGCAUGGCAGAAACAAGGUACUCCAUAUCUUUACACACAUCCUUCUCCAAGUUUUGGUCCUGAACUGCGUAUUAAAUGAACAUGAAGUCUUCGUCUAGUGAACAAAGAACAGACCACAGCAUCGAAACAGUAAGGUCCCUCGAGUCAAUCAAAGUCAUACAUCACAGAGCACUUUAUCAUAUUCUUCACAACACUGCCUAAAUCCAAGAAGCACUGCUUUAUUGUCAGAAGGACAUUCACUUAAUAACAGUAAUAAAUCCAGAAAGGCAAGCUAAUUUUAGACAGAAAUCUUGGCUAAGAGAGAACCCUAUCAUUUCUCACU